GGUUCAGGAUGAACGCUAGCUACAGGCUUAACACAUGCAAGUCGAGGGGCAGCAGGAAUCUAGCUUGCUAGAUUUGCUGGCGACCGGCGCACGGGUGAGUAACGCGUAUCCAAACCUUCCCCUUAGUAGGGCAUAGCCCGUAGAAAUGCGGAUUAAUACCCUAUGUUAUUCGUCGAGGACAUCUGAAGUGAAUCAAAGGUUUUACCGCUAAGGGAUGGGGAUGCGUCUGAUUAGGCAGCAGGCGGGGUAACGGCCCACCUGGCCGACGAUCAGUAGGGGUUCUGAGAGGAAGGUCCCCCACAUUGGAACUGAGACACGGUCCAAACUCCUACGGGAGGCAGCAGUGAGGAAUAUUGGUCAAUGGUCGAGAGACUGAACCAGCCAAGUAGCGUGCAACGGAUGACGGCCCUAUGGGUUGUAAACUGCUUUUAUGCGGGGAUAAAGUGCACUACGUGUAGUGUUUUGUAGGUACCGCAUGAAUAAGGACCGGCUAAUUCCGUGCCAGCCGCUGC
rnacentral:rRNA from 1 species